GACGAACGCUGGCGGCGUGCCUAAUACAUGCAAGUUGAGCGCUGAAGGUUGGUACUUGUACCAACUGGAUGAGCAGCGAACGGGUGAGUAACGCGUGGGGAAUCUGCCUUUGAGCGGGGGACAACAUUUGGAAACGAAUGCUACUACCGCAUAAAAACUUUAAACACAAGUUUUAAGUUUGAAAGAUGCCAUUGCAUCACUCAAAGAUGAUCCCGCGUUGUAUUAGCUAGUUGGUGAGGUAAAGGCUCACCAAGGCGAUGAUACAUAGCCGACCUGAGAGGGUGAUCGGCCAAAAUGGGACUGGAAAAAGGGCCAAAAUCCUACGGGAAGCAGCAGUAGGGAAACUUCGGCAAUGGAGGAAAGGCUGAACGAGCAACGCCGGGUGAGUGAAGAAGGGUUUCGGAUCGGAAAACUCUGUUGGUAGAGAAGAACGUUGGUGAGAGUGGAAAGCUCAUCAAGUGACGGUAACUACCCAGAAAGGGACGGCUAACUACGUG
rnacentral:rRNA from 1 species